UCAAGAUAAUUGCUUAUUGUAUUUGUUAUUCUAACUGUGAAGGGCUGAUUAUGAAAGUUUAGGAAAGCUAAAGGACUGAAGUCUAAAAGCAUGUUGAUCUAUGAGAUUGUGUUUGGCUAGGGUUUGAAAGGAGAUGGGUAUUUUGUGAUUCACUUCACAACUGGUUCAAAAGAGUAAUAGAGAAAUAUACGCAUCCUAUCGUUGAUCAUGAUCACAACUGCUUUACCUGAAGUUCAUCUUUGUCUGAUGCUUGUUGUCUUCAUCAAGUGUAAAUCGUCUUCACAACUAGAAGAGCUAGGGUUCCAAAUCGGUUUCUUGUUCUCAUCUGGUUUGUUUACUUUUUAUUCUCUGUAAUCAUUUAUCAUAUCAGCCGAUCAGAGUUGAUCAGUUGAUUACUUUGUACUAUUGAAAAACUCACAAUUUUGUGUGAGUUCUUCUAGGGUUUGGUCGUCAUUUUUUGGUUUGGGUAUAAUCAUUUAAUAAAAUCUUUCGUCGCCGUUUUGUCGCUAUUUGUGUGUUCUUGUAUACAUUCAUGUUCUUGACAUGGUAUCACCCAAAUUUGGAGGUGGGUUUUGGUGGGGUUUUCGUCAUCGUCUUCUUCGGUGUCUGAGAUGUUGUUGAUUGUGUCGAAUAAUAGGUCUUCUAGGAUUUGGAACCCUAGCUCUUCUAGUUGUGAAGACGAUUUACACUUGAUGAAGACAACAAGCAUCAGACAAAGAUGAACUUCAGGUAAAGCAGUUGUGAUCAUGAUCAACGAUAGGAUGCGUAUAUUUCUCUAUUACUCUUUUGAACCAGUUGUGAAGUGAAUCACAAAAUACCCAUCUCCUUUCAAACCCUAGCCAAACACAAUCUCAUAGAUCAACAUGCUUUUAGACUUCAGUCCUUUAGCUUUCCUAAACUUUCAUAAUCAGCCCUUCACAGUUAGAAUAACAAAUACAAUAAGCAAUUAUCUUGACUAACAACUGAAUUGAAAAAAGAAGAUAAAACUUAGCUUCUUUUUAACAUAUUUAUAUGAAAAGAAUAAUAAAAUCUUAAUAUAAAACAUAAUGUGUGAACCAAGAAUAACAACUGUUGACGUUUGAAAAUGUUAGUUUAGGAAUAUGCAAUAACGUCCCAGAAAGUGAAUUGUCAGUCCUGCCCCUAAAUCAGCAGGUAAUCUCAAGGGUAAAAGUGUCACACCAGGUUCUGAAAGAGAUUCACUUGUGUUGUAGAAUGUUCACUUGAUGGGCUUCACAAUCUUAAUGAAUCUGCAAAAGAAGUGGUUUGACAUAUCAGAAAGUAGUGAGCAGCAGCUGCAAGUGUCUGAAACUUGUUGGUGAUCAAAAAGGUAACUGAAUUAAUUAUCAAGGCUAAUAGCUAGAGUUGUUCUUUGAUUAUAGCUUUAAGAAUGCUACGAAUAUUAAGCUUAGCUUGAUGGGAUAUGAAGAGGUAUGGUCCCAACUCCACAUCUACAUGGCACGGAUCACAUCAUUUUUCCCGUCUACAUGGCGCCUACAUCAGCAAAUAAAUCCAGAAGCUUCUAGAAGCUUAUGGAAGACGUCAAGGUGGCACCAAAGAUGCUCCUUCCGACAGAAAGGACGACACGUGUCACCAGUAAUCGAGCGCCAUAUAGACCUGCAACAGAUCACGGGGGCAGACCGACAGGAGCUGCACGAUUUCUCCAACAUGGACGAAUAUCGGCGCGCCACGUGUACCACCAUCCUGACCAAAGCAGAGGGGACCAAGAGGAUAUUCCCCUUGGUCGGACAGCUGGCGCCCAAUAGCAGCUGGCAAGGUUGCUCCUCCCUCCUUCACCCUCCGGCUAUAAAUAGGACCCUUCAUCAUUCAGGUCCAUAGUCAUUCGGCGAGUAAGGAAGGAGAUUGAACCCACAGAAGAGACAAUCCAGCUAGUUCACCAUCGGUGUUAACCAGUGUUUCAUCAUUGGCGCCCACCGCAUUUUUUGCAAACCAUCCUCAUCUCCUUCUUCUUCGAAAAACUCUCUGAAAUGGCUGAACCAAACCCUUCUCCUCAAAUGGACGGAUAAGUCUCUUCCUUUGAACUCAUUUCUGACACCGCGCACGUCCAAAGAGUCCAGGGGAACGAGACCAUCCAAGAAGGGCGAAUGAACAACGAGUUUCCUGACAUCUUUGGAAGCACAUCCAGAGUUGUUAGCCAAAACACAAACGGAGCCAGUUUCCAACCCCCAUCCAGAAUCAUCAACCAAACCACAAAUGGAGCCACUUUCCAACCUCCACCCAGGGUAGUUAAUCAAACACCUCCGGAAGUUCCCACACCAAACCAUGGGGUUGGCCCAUCAACCCCAUCGGUUCAAACACAGUUGAACUUUUCGGCACUUUUAUGGCUAUCCGAAGGAAAAACUCUGGCUUCCUGGUACGCCGAACAAACAGCAUCGUUAAACCUUGUCUAUGCGCAACUCAAGCACAACAAGCCUUGCUCCAAGCACAUGUAACGCCUCGCUUUUUGAAACUUACUUUAAUUGGAAAGAUUAUUCAUGUACCUAUUUUUGGAAACUUGCAUCGGUAUCGUAUUCGCAUCUCGCCUCCGUUUUCGUAAUUCGUAACUUCGAUGAUAAUGAAAUUAUGUUUUUAUACAUGCUUA